CAUUUGUAUGAGUCCACUUACAAUAUCAGGAUCAAUUUUUUGUUUUUUGUUAGGACUCAUAGCAUUGAUACGAUUUGAUAUUUCAUUAUGUGUAUCAUAAACAUACAACUGUGCAAAUUUAGGUGAUUCGCCGUCAGGUGGUAAAACAGAACCCAUCAAAUGAUGUACUUGUCCACAAAUUUUAAAAACAUAAGGUCCAGAUGUCUUGUUUACGUCUUUUUCAAUUUUUGCACCCAUUGAAGUAAAAGCGAACAUUGAGUUAUAAACACGUAUAGUUUCUCGAAAACAUUUGCUUUUUGGGCCAUUAUUAGGAUCUAAUAGAUAUUCAAGAAAUAUUGGUGUUGGUUUGGAUGGUUCUAACCUUACUUGUCCUCGUUUGCAACAACCAAUAUAGAUUCCACGUGCGUUCUUCUCAUUUCGCCAAUAAUAGGCACUGCAAUGAACGCAUUGAAAAGUAUUGUCUCCGAAGUCUUUGUACUCUAUAAUAGUACCUGUAAUUACCACUUGUUUUAUUUAGAUUCAUAGAAUAUUAUUAGGGGAAUGAACAACAAUUGCACAAAAUAUGCAAAACCUUGUUUCAGUCUUUGAUAAUGCGCUUGACCAUACGAAGACAAAUUCUCAAGUGCGUUUUCUUCUGUAAUUCAUAUAA
rnacentral:lncRNA from 1 species